UAUAGAUGAAAAAUUAAAUUAUAAAGAAUCAAACCAAAUUAAAAAUAAAAUUAACUGAAUUAAAUCGAAUAGAAAUAAAUUUAAAAAUAGAUUUCAUCAAUAUGAAUAAAUAGAUUUCAUUCUAAAAAAAAAUGAAAGAAUCACAUCCUCUACAAUUCAAUCAAUCUUGAAGCAAAUCAUAAAAUACACAUUUCAAUAAUAUAAUACAUUAUAAUCAAAAUAACCCAUGAAAAAAAAAAGAAACAUCAAAGGACAAACCCAGAAAUAAGUUCAAAUAACACAAACCCAUAAAUGAUACAAUCCUAAAAAUAAGAAAUCAGAAAACCAUAAAUAAGAAAUAAGAAAAAUCCAGAUCUAAAUGAUGUCACUGUGAAAUAUGGGAGAUAGAUGUGCAAUAAACAGAUGUGGAACAACGUGCGAUGACCAGAUGUGCGACGACUAGGAGAUCUACGCCGUUCCUCCCCAAUCGGCAGUGACAAAUCAUCUACCCAGGGCCUCGCCAGUCACAUCUGUCGCUGUGGGUGAGAGAUGUUGGGGGGGGGGGCUGAGUGAGGGAAGGCAGAGGGGUAGGGGCUAGGUAGGAGUUGAAACAUUAAAG
rnacentral:lncRNA from 1 species